UGGGGAAUUGUUCGCAAUGGGCGCAAGCCUGACGACGCAACGCCGCGUGGAGGAUGAAGAUUUUCGGAUCGUAAACUCCUGUCGAAUGGGACGAAUAGAUUGCGGGUUAACAGCCCGCGGUCCUGACGGUACCGUUAAAGGAAACCCCGGCUAACUCCGCGCCAGCAGCCGCGGUAAUACGGGGGGGGCAAGCGUUGUUCGGAAUUACUGGGCGUAAAGGGUUCGUAGGCGGCCUUCUAAGUCGGACGUGAAAGCCCCAGGCUUAACCUGGGAACUGCGUCCGAUACUGGGAGGCUUGGAUUCGGGAGAGGGAUGUGGAAUUCCAGGUGUAGCGGUGAAAUGCGUAGAUAUCUGGAGGAACACCGGUGGCGAAGGCGGCAUCCUGGACCGAGAUCGACGCUGAGGCGCGAAAGCUAGGGGAGCAAA
rnacentral:rRNA from 1 species